UUACAGGCUUUGAUGGGAACAAGUAAUAGCAAAGGAAACCUACAGAGAGUCACCGGUUGCUGAGAGGUACAGGGGCAGCUUGUUAUGAAUACAUCCCGGAGCUUCGCACCAAAUAUUCAAUAUUUGUCAAAUCAAAAUUAAACUUUACAAAUGAAUGGUUUGUGCAAAUUUGAAUGAGUAGGCUGCGACGGAUUAGCACACGUUAUCGAUGCGUAAGUUGCCAGAUAUCCUUAAGGCACUGCAGAUGGCAGUCCUGUCGGUGACGGACACUUACUGAGGCAGGUUAUGCGAAUAAUCUGUGAAAAAAGGUGGUAACACGAGACUUCGCCCUCGUCCUUUCA
rnacentral:ncRNA from 1 species